CGAACGGUGGCGGCGUGGAUUAGGCAUGCAAGUCGCACGAGAACGGUUUAGCUUGCUAGACCAAGUAAAGUGGCGAACGGGUGAGUAACGUAUGGACAAUCUAUCCUUGACUCGGGGACAACAGCUGGAAACGGCUGCUAAUACCCGAUAGCCCCGGUAGGAGGUACUCCGGCCGGGUAAAGGGGGGCAACUUCCGAUCGAGGAGGGGUCCAUAUCCCAUCAGCUUGUUGGCGAGGUAACGGCUCACCAAGGCAAUGACGGGUAGCCGAACUGAGAGGUUGAUCGGCCACAUCGGGACUGAGACACUGCCCGGACUCCUACGGGAGGCUGCAGUCGAGAAUCUUCCGCAAUGGACGAAAGUCUGACGGAGCGACGCCGCGUGAAGGAUGAAGGCCCUCGGGUCGUAAACUUCUGUCACUCGUGAAGAAUGUCUGCAGUAAAGCUGUCGACUGACGUUAGCGAGAGAGGAAGCCACGGCUAACUUC
rnacentral:rRNA from 1 species